rnacentral:rRNA from 1 species
AGUCGAGCGAAGCACCUUGACGGAUUUCUUCGGAUUGAAGCCUUGGUGACUGAGCGGCGGACGGGUGAGUAACGCGUGGGUAACCUGCCUCAUACAGGGGGAUAACAGUUGGAAACGGCUGCUAAUACCGCAUAAGCGCACAGUACCGCAUGGUACGGUGUGAAAAACUCCGGUGGUAUGAGAUGGACCCGCGUCUGAUUAGGUAGUUGGUGGGGUAACGGCCUACCAAGCCGACGAUCAGUAGCCGACCUGAGAGGGUGACCGGCCACAUUGGGACUGAGACACGGCCCAAACUCCUACGGGAGGCAGCAGUGGGGAAUAUUGCACAAUGGGGGAAACCCUGAUGCAGCGACGCCGCGUGAGCGAUGAAGUAUUUCGGUAUGUAAAGCUCUAUCAGCAGGGAAGAAAAUGACGGUACCUGACUAAGAAGCCCCGGCUAACUACGUGCCAGCAGCCACGGUAAUACGUAGGGGGCAAGCGUUAUCCGGAUUUACUGGGUGUAAAGGGAGCGUAGACGGCAUGGCAAGCCAGAUGUGAAAGCCCGGGGCUCAACCCCGGGACUGCAUUUGGAACUGUCAGGCUAGAGUGUCGGAGAGGAAAGCGGAAUUCCUAGUGUAGCGGUGAAAUGCGUAGAUAUUAGGAGGAACACCAGUGGCGAAGGCGGCUUUCUGGACGGUGACUGACGUUGAGGCUCGAAAGCGUGNGGAGCAAACAGGAUUAGAUNCCCUGGUAGUCCACGCCGU